GGAAGGGCUGUAGCUCAGUGACAGAGCAUCUGCUUUGUGUGCAGAAAGUCCCAAGUUCAAUCCCUGGCACCUCCA